UGGCUGUCGUCAGCUCGUGUCGUGAGAUGUUGGGUUAAGUCCCGCAACGAGCGCAACCCCUGUCGUAUGUUGCCAGCAUUUAGUUGGGGACUCAUACGAGACUGCCGGCGUCAAGCCGGAGGAAGGUGGGGAUGACGUCAAGUCAUCAUGCCCCUUAUGUCCUGGGCUGCACACGUGCUACAAUGGCCGGUACAAUGGGCUGCGAUGCCGCGAGGCGGAGCGAAUCCCAUAAAACCGGCCCCAGUUCGGAUCGGAGGCUGCAACUCGCCUCCGUGAAGUCGGAGUUGCUAGUAAUCGCGGAUCAGCAUGCCGCGGUCGAAUACGUUCCGGGCCUU
rnacentral:rRNA from 1 species